rnacentral:rRNA from 1 species
AGAGUUUGAUCCUGGCUCAGAACGAACGCUGGCGGCGUGCUUAACACAUGCAAGUCGAACGAGAAAAUCCUGGCUUGACAGGAUGAGUAAAGUGGCGCACGGGUGAGUAACACGUGAGUAAUCUGCCCCUAAGUUAGGAAUAACAUUGCGAAAGCGAUGCUAAUACCUGGUAAGCCCACGACUUCUUCGGUAGAUGUGGGAAAAGGUGGCCUCUGACAUAAGCUAUCACUUAGGGAUGAGCUCGCGGACCAUUAGCUUGUUGGUAGGGUAAUGGCCUACCAAGGCGAUGAUGGUUAGCUGGCCUGAGAGGGUGGCCAGCCACACUGGAACUGAGACACGGUCCAGACUCCUACGGGAGGCAGCAGUGGGGAAUCUUGCGCAAUGGGGGAAACCCUGACGCAGCAACGCCGCGUGAGUGACGAAGGCCUUCGGGUCGUAAAGCUCUGUCAGAUGGAAAGAAUUAAUUCGCUGAAAAUAUUGGCGAGUGAUGACGGUACUAUCAGAGGAAGCACCGGCUAACUCCGUGCCAGCAGCCGCGGUAAUACGGAGGGUGCAAGCGUUGUUCGGAAUUAUUGGGCGUAAAGCGCGUGUAGGCGGGAAGACAGGUCAGUUGUGAAAUCCCUUGGCCUAACCAAGGAACUGCAUCUGAAACCUUUUUCCUCGAGUACGAUAGGGGAGGGCGGAAUUCCCAGUGUAGAGGUGAAAUUCAUAGAUAUUGGGAGGAACAACAGUGGCGAAGGCGACCCUCUGGAUCGAUACUGACGCUGAGACGCGAAAGCGUGGGUAGCAAACAGGAUUAGAUACCCUGGUAGUCCACGCUGUAAACGAUGUGCACUAGGUGUUGGAGGUACUUAAUCCUCCAGUGCCGCAGCUAACGCAUUAAGUGCACCGCCUGGGGAAUACGGCCGCAAGGUUAAAACUCAAAGGAAUUGACGG